rnacentral:rRNA from 1 species
GAUACCCCACUAUGCCUAGUCGUAAACUUUAACUUACACCACAUCGCCAGGGAACUACGAGCAAAGCUUAAAACCCAAAGGACUUGACGGUGCCCCACAUCUUUCUAGAGGAGCCUGUCCUACAACCGAUACCCCUCGUUCAACCUCACCGCCCUUGGCCAAUCAGCCUGUAUACUUCCGUCGCCAGCUUACCGCGUGAGCGAAUGAGUAAGCUUAAUGUCCCUCAUCAACACGUCAGGUCAAAGUGCAGCACAUAGAGCGGCAAGAGAUGGGCUACACUUUCUACCGUAGAAGACACGAAAGAAUAUGUGAAACCAUAUUCAGAAGGUGGAUUUAGCAGUAAGGGGGCAAUAGAGUGCCCCCCUUAACCCAGCACUGGGGCGUGUACACACC